ACCCGUACCGCGUAGCAUACAAUUACACACGGACUGCCGGCCGGCCACCCUGCACUUGCAGCAGGAAAGCAAGCUAGGUGUGGCGGGUGGCGCGCAGGGACGCAGGGUGGGUGCGUGCUUUCAGUUCCCCUCUUCAUUCAAAGCGGGCGGAGAGUGCAACGAGCUACUACUACUAGAGAGCAAACAGGGCAAAGGCGAGCAGGAAAGCCUUCCAUUCCAUCAAAGGGUUCGCUGCUCCCUGCCUCCUCCUCCUCCUUCUUCUUGGCAUCUUCCGUCAAAGGGUGAGGGCUCUUGCUCCUUUCUUUCUUUACCGAUCGAUCCUCCUAGUCCUCCACUUUCUGUUUCGCUGUUGCAUCACUUCUCCGGCUUCAGAAGGUGGCUGGCCGGCCGACCGGCGUGGGUGCUCGAGAGGAGAGGAGGGUGGCAUGCUGGGGGCCGCCUCCUGAGUCCAGCAGCACUGCCAUUGGAGGGGGCCGAUGGGAGGAGAGAGAGAGAGAGAGAGAAGGACACCUGCAAGCCCACUGAGGUCUGCUAGCUCAUUGCCCUCCCUCGCCAAACAACCGUCUUUCUCCCCAGUCCCGGUCCCAACUCCCAAACCACGAGCGCGGGCGCGGGCAGAGGGACAGCCGCAUGUGCACGCGACCGGCGCAUGCACACACUUGCGUGGCCGCAUCUGGCUCCGGCUCGUCUUCCCCGGGCGGGUGUGCCGGGUAGGGCACUACGUUCUUGGUGUUGGGGGGGCAGAGUGGCUCUCCAUUGCUCGGGAGCUGGGGUGGGUCUCACACUGUUCUGCUCUUUCUCGGCUCAUGCCUGAAUGCUGC
rnacentral:misc_RNA from 1 species